UACAGAGGGUGCGAGCGUUAAUCGGAGUUACUGGGCGUAAAGGGCGCGUAGGCGGUUUAAUGGGUGUGAUGUGAAAGCCCCGAGCUUAACUUGGGAAGUGCAUCGCAAACUGUUGAGCUGGAGUACAAGAGAGGGUGGCGGAAUUUCCGGUGUAGCGGUGAAAUGCGUAGAGAUCGGAAGGAACGUCAAUGGCGAAGGCAGCCACCUGGCUUGAUACUGACGCUGAGGCGCGAAAGCGUGGGGAGCGAAC
rnacentral:rRNA from 1 species